rnacentral:rRNA from 1 species
GAUGAACGCUGGCGGCGUGCUUAACACAUGCAAGUCGAACGAUGAAGGGAGCUUGCUCCUGGAUUAGUGGCGAACGGGUGAGUAACACGUGAGUAACCUGCCCUUGACUCUGGGAUAAGCCUGGGAAACUGGGUCUAAUACCGGAUAUGACCUUCCAUCGCAUGGUGGUUGGUGGAAAGCUUUUGUGGUUUUGGAUGGACUCGCGGCCUAUCAGCUUGUUGGUGGGGUAAUGGCCUACCAAGGCGACGACGGGUAGCCGGCCUGAGAGGGUGACCGGCCACACUGGGACGGAGACACGGCCCAGACUCCUACGGGAGGAAGCAGUGGGGAAUAUUGCACAAUGGGCGCAAGCCUGAUGCAGCGACGCCGCGUGAGGGAUGACGGCCUUCGGGUUGUAAACCUCUUUCAGUAGGGAAGAAGCGUAAGUGACGGUACCUGCAGAAGAAGCGCCGGCUAACUACGUGCCAGCCGCCGCCGUAAAAC